GGGGAUGGUGCUGGGCAUGGGGGAAAACGGAAAGCCUCCCCAGAAGCUGAUGCAAAAGCGGCCUUCCUGUGAAGUGCAGCCGAGUAGCAGGAGUGUGGCACAGCACCUAAGAGAGUUGACAUCCACUCUGUCUCCAAGACGCUGGCUGGAAGAAAGUGCAAGGACUUGGAAGAAGAGAAACAAAAAGCAGAGCUGUGGCCUGCCAAGA